AACCCCAAAAUUCCAGCCUCACAUCCCACAGGAGAAGCUUCCAGAACCCCUCAGGGCACCUCAACCCCAAAAUUCCAGCCCCACAUCCCACGGGAGAGGCUCCCAGCCCCCCGAGGGACCCGGAUCCGUUCCCUGGGAUACCUGGGAGCGCUGGAAUAUUUCGUGGAUGGCGUUGGAGAAGAGCUGGAGGCUGUGGAACAGCAGCUGCUUCACCAUCACCUGCUCCUGGACGGAGUCGGGAGGGACCUGGGAAUGGGAAAAAUGGGAUUUGGGAAUGCUGGGAUGGAGCUGGGAAUGAGAACGGGGUCAGGGAAUGGACCCUGGGAAUGGGAAAAACGGGAUUUGGGAAUGCUGGGGUGGGGCUGGGAAUGGGGUCAGGGAAUGGACCCUGGGAAUUAGAGAAAUGGGAUUUAGGAAUGCUGGGAAUGGGGAAAGAGGGAUCUGGAGGUUCAGGAACUCCAGGAGCUUCUACUGGGAUGGAUCUGGGAAAGGGAAAAGUGGGAUUUGGGACUCCCCAAAGUCCAGGAGCUGCUGCCAGGGCUGGGACCUCCAGGAUUCCAGGGAAUCCUGAUCCCGGAGCUGCUCCUCCUCCUCCUCCUCCUCACCUGGGCCAGCAGCUGCCGCAGCGCCCGCCCGUGGCCCUGGGAGAAGGCACAAAUCCCGGGAAGCUCCUGGAGGCCGAGGGGCAGCUCCUGGCUCUUCCUGAGCGCCUCCCCGAGCUGCCCCAGCACAAACUGGGAGCACUCCAGCACCACCCGGAGAAUCCUUCCGGAAGGUUCCGCCGCCAGCGCCGCUCCUGCCCGGCACAGCGCCGAGCCCACGGCUCGGGCUCCGGCCCCGCCUUUGAGCAGCGCCCAGCUGAGCUGGAUCCCGGCCUCCAGCAGCUCCAGGGGGGCUCCCAGAGAAUUCCCAGCUCCCAAAAACCCUUUGGAAUCCCCCAGCAGGUCCAGAGCCUCGCGGUGCCGCCGGGCCUUGCAGAGGCGGCGGCAGCACUCCAGGGUGAGCUCCAGGCAGCACAGGGAGCUCCCGAGAUCCGGAGGCCGC
rnacentral:lncRNA from 1 species